rnacentral:rRNA from 1 species
UACGUAGGGUGCAAGCGUUAAUCGGAAUUACUGGGCGUAAAGCGUGCGCAGGCGGUUUUGUAAGUCUGUCGUGAAAUCCCCGGGCUCAACCUGGGAAUUGCGAUGGAGACUGCAAGGCUAGAAUCUGGGGCAAGAGGGGGGUAGAAUUCCACGUGAUAGCAGUGAAAAUGCGGUGAAGAGAUGUGGGAGGAACAACCGGAUG